GGAGGGAUGGCCGAGCGGUCGAAGGCGCACGCCUGGAAAGUGUGUAUACGGUAACACGUAUCGUGGGUUCGAAUCCCACUCCCUCCGCCA
rnacentral:tRNA from 3 species